rnacentral:rRNA from 1 species
GUGCCAGCAGCCGCGGCUAUGAUACGUUCACGGGUAGCAAGCGUAUAAAUUCGAGAAUUACUGGGCGUAAAGCGUGCGCAGGCGGUCCGCUAAGACAGAUGUGAAAUCCCCGGGCUUAACCUGGGAACUGCAUUUGUGACUGGCGGGCUAGAGUAUGGCAGAGGGGGGUAGAAUUCCACGUGUAGCAGUGAAAUGCGUAGAGAUGUGGAGGAAUACCGAUGGCGAAGGCAGCCCCCUGGGCCAAUACUGACGCUCAUGCACGAAAGCGUGGGGAGCAAACAGGAUUAGAUACCCUGGUAGUCC